AAAUAGUUGUAAUACCUAUGGGAGAACAACCGUUUUGUGUUUGUUCUGAUUGAUUCCAGGAUCUGCAUUUAAACAUAAUUUUAAUUCUCUGGGUUUUAUCAGAUGCUCUAAUUGUAAUUAUUCUGAGUUCUUUGAAGAGUAAAACAAGCCCAGUGAAGACAACUACAAGAAUGGAAUGUGCUGCACUCGAGAACUUCAUUUCUGUGACAGAGGCUGCUCCCAUCUCAGAAACCCACACGAUCCAUGGCCAAGGGUGUGUGUUGAGGAAGAAAUCUGUGUAAUGCAUGGCUGAAGACAAUGAGUUUAUUUUGCAGCUCCAUCCUGGAGCCUGGAGGAGGAUCACCUCUGCUGGGAAAAUUUCUUUCUUUGGCAGAGAGAUGUGCAGAGACAGUGGGAAUCUGCCAUGUUGGUGUCCCAGGGAGAAAAUCAGCUGCUACUGGAAGUUCAAUAACAG